rnacentral:rRNA from 1 species
AUCAGAAGUGCGAAUGCUGACAUAAGUAACGAUAAAGCGGGUGAAAAGCCCGCUCGCCGGAAGACCAAGGGUUCCUGUCCAACGUUAAUCGGGGCAGGGUGAGUCGACCCCUAAGGCGAGGCUGAAAAGCGUAGUCGAUGGGAAACAGGUUAAUAUUCCUGUACUUGGUGUUACUGCGAAGGGGGGACGGAGAAGGCUAGGCUAGCCGGGCGACGGUUGUCCCGGUUUAAGCGUGUAGGGGGUGUGACCUGGUAAAUCCGGUUGCAUGCUAACCCUGAGGCGUGAUGACGAUGCACUACGGUGCAGAAGUAGUUGAUGCCCUGCUUCCAGGAAAAUCCUCUAAGCUCCAGGUAACAUUAAAUCGUACCCCAAACCGACACAGGUGGUCAGGUAGAGAAUACCAAGGCGCUUGAGAGAACUCGGGUGAAGGAACUAGGCAAAAUGGUGCCGUAACUUCGGGAGAAGGCACGCUGGCAUGUAGGUGAAGUCCCUCGCGGAUGGAGCUGAAGCCAGUCGAAGAUACCAGCUGGCUGCAACUGUUUAAUAAAAACACAGCACUGUGCAAACACGAAAGUGGACGUAUACGGUGUGACGCCUGCCCGGUGCUGGAAGGUUAAUUGAUGGGGUCAGCCGCAAGGCGAAGCUCUUGAUCGAAGCCCCAGUAAACGGCGGCCGUAACUAUAACGGUCCUAAGGUAGCGAAAUUCCUUGUCGGGUAAGUUCCGACCUGCACGAAUGGCGUAAUGAUGGCCAGGCUGUCUCCACCCGAGACUCAGUGAAAUUGAACUCGCUGUGAAGAUGCAGUGUACCCGCGGCAAGACGGAAAGACCCCGUGAACCUUUACUAUAGCUUGACACUGAACAUUGAGCCUUGAUGUGUAGGAUAGGUGGGAGGCUUUGAAGCGUGGACGCCAGUCUGCGUGGAGCCAUCCUUGAAAUACCACCCUUUAAUGUUUGAUGUUCUAACUCGGCCCCAUAAUCUGGGGUGAGGACAGUGUCUGGUGGGUAGUUUGACUGGGGCGGUCUCCUCCCAAAGAGUAACG